rnacentral:pre_miRNA from 1 species
UGGGUACUACCUCCGUUUCAUAAUUCUUGUGGAAAUUGUACAUGUAUCUAGACACCUUUUAGGAAUAGAUACAUCUAUUUUUGGGCAAAUUUGAGACAUGAAUUAUGAAACGGAGGGAGUACCUU